rnacentral:rRNA from 1 species
UACGAAGGAUGCAAGCGUUAUCCGGAUUUAUUGGGUUUAAAGGGUGCGUAGGCGGACUUAUAAGUCAGUGGUGAAAUCUCGUUGCUUAACAACGAACGUGCCAUUGAUACUGUAGGUCUUGAGUACAGAUGCCGUUGGCGGAAUGUGUCAUGUAGCGGUGAAAUGCAUAGAUAUGACACAGAGCACCGAUUGCGAAGGCAGCUGACGAAACUGUAACUGACGCUGAGGCACGAAAGCGUGGGGAUCAAACAGG